rnacentral:rRNA from 1 species
GACGAACGCUGGCGGCGUGCUUAACACAUGCAAGUCGAACGGAAAGGCCAUGCGUUUGUGGGGUGCUCGAGUGGCGAACGGGGGAGUGACACGUGAGUAAACUGCCCUUGACUUUGGGAUAACUUCAGGAAACUGGGGCUAAUACCGGAUAGGAGAUCCUGCUGCAUGUGGUGGGUUGGAAAGUUUCGGCGGUUGGGGAUGUACUCGCGGCUUAUCAGCUUGUUGGUGGGGUAGUGGCUUACCAAGGCUUUGACGGGUAGCCCGCCUGAGAGGGUGACCGGCCACCUUGGGUCUGAGGUACGGCCCAGACUCCUACGGGAGGCAGCAGUGGGGAAUCUUGCACAAUGGGCGGAAGCCUGAUGCAGCAACGCCGCGUGCGGGAUGACGGCCUUCGGGUUGUAAACCGAUUUCGCCUGUGACGAAGCGUGAGUGACGGUAAUGGGUACAGAAGCCCCCGCUAACUACCUG